UACAGGGGGUGCAAACGUUGCUCGGAAUCAUUGGGCGUAAAGCGCACGUAGGCGGUUCGUUAUGUCGGAUGUGAAAGCCCUUGGCUUAACCGAGGAAGUGCAUCCGAAACUGGCGAGCUAGAGUACUAAAGAGGAUCGCGGAAUUCCCGGUGUAGAGGUGAAAUUCGUAGAUAUCGGGAGGAACACCGGUGGCGAAGGCGGCGAUCUGGCCCAACAUUGACACUGAGACCCGAAAGCGUGGGGAUCAAACAGG
rnacentral:rRNA from 1 species